GCGGCCCUGGAUCAAGGCCUGCAGUCUGCCUUGGCUGCCGGCUUCAAGCAGGAGCCCAGAGGAAGCCUUUCUAUGGUCUGUUGAGCACGCCCGAGUGGCCGUGGUGUGUUCAAUUCAUUAGAAAGAAACAGCG